rnacentral:misc_RNA from 1 species
CUCUCUGGCUCUCUCUUUGUCUCUGUUCUUUUCUUUUGACCUUCCUUUUUACUCUCUUCUUUUAAUCCGCAAUAACAAUCUAAUCAGCUUCACAUCCAGUUCCAAAGGGAAAAAAUUGGGAAAUUUUUCAUCCUGAAUUUUGAUCUUAACCACAGUCACGGAGAUCUAAAUUUCUAACUUAUCAGGUAUUUUUUGAUAUUUUCUUUGGUAAUUGGAUCAUUUACAGCGAUUUUAUUCUCCAUUUUUGUUAUUCGUGUGUUUAUUUGUUUAAAUUAUGAAUGCAUGCUUGGUUUUGUCGAUUUUCUUCGUAAAAUUUGCUGUUUGUGCUGAAAUAGUCUGAUUGGUAUGUGUGCGUGUGUUUAUUGUAUGGUUUGUCGAAGGAUUUUAGUUUGGCAUUCGAGCUAACUAGGUUCCUCGAUUGCUCAUGGUUGCUGACAUGAAUGGUAGGGAUUGGAACGUGAAAAAAGAGGCCAGCUUUGUCUGAAUUCUUUGUUAGCCAAACUUAAAAUUUUAACUAUUUUGAUUUUUAAUUUGGCCCUCUAAUUGCUUGUUUGUAGGCCAAUUUUACAAUUGAGGUCUUAAUUACUAAAAAUAAUUAUCCUAGUUGUGCAUAGAAAAAGAUGAAAUUGUAAAAGUUUUUAUAAGAAACAGAGAUAUGAAGUUCAGGACUUGGAGACUGAACAACAGCUUGCCUU